ACUGCCGGCCUCCGCGCUACCCCGCCGCAGCGCGCGAGUCACAUGGAGGCUCCUGAGGAGCCCGCGCCAGUGCGCGGAGGCCCGGAGGCCACCCUUGAGAUCCAUGGGUCGCGCUUCCUGCGGCUGUCCGCCUUCCGAGAAGAGCUGCGGGCGCUCUUGGUCCUGGCUGGCCCCGCGUUCUUGGUUCAGCUGAUGGUGUUCCUGAUCAGCUUCAUAAGCUCCGUGUUCUGUGGCCACCUGGGCAAGCUGGAGCUGGACGCAGUCACGCUGGCGAUCGCGGUUAUCAAUGUCACUGGUGUCUCAGUGGGAUUCGGCUUAUCUUCUGCUUGUGACACCCUCAUCUCCCAGACUACCAGAGAUGUCACUGAACCUGGAGCUGGAAGAGAUGUGCACGACUUGAAAAGAUACGUACGGGAGCCAGAACCUGAAGCACGUGGGUGUGAUCCUGCAGCGGAGUGCGCUCAUCCUGCUCCUCUGCUGCUUCCCCUGCUGGGCGCUGUUUCUCAACACCCAGCAUAUCCUGCUG
rnacentral:sRNA from 1 species